rnacentral:rRNA from 1 species
GUCCACGCCAUAAACUAUGGAUACUAGAUGUUCGAGGAGUUAACCCCUUGAGUAUCAAAGCUAACGCAUUAAGUAUCCCGCCUGGGAAGUACGGCCGCAAGGCUAAAAACUCAAAGGAAUUGACGGGGCCCGCACAAGAGGUGGAGUAUGUGGUUCAAUUCGAAGCAACGCGCAGAACCUUACCUGGGUUUGACAUCCCUUGAUUGCUAUAGAGAUAUAGAGUUCCCUUCGGGACAAGGUGACAAGUGCUGCAUGGCUGUCGU